CUGAGCUGCCGGGAAUCCUGUGCCUGGGCUGUGGGAAGAUGUGAGCCCAGGUGUGAAGCCGGAUGCUUACCUGUCAGGAAGGCAGUCAGAAAUCUCAGAGCCAAGUUGAACGUGCCUUGAAACAACUUCUCUUGCCCCCAGGUUUCUGGGGUUCCUGAACAAGGUCUUCUGUCCCUCAGGGUAUUGGAGGCUUUAGGACCAGGAGAAAAAACAAGCUGAAGACCUCUCAGGAGUAAGGUUGAGAAGCUCUUCAGGCUUGCCUUCUGCAAAUCGUUGGACAGAAGCUUUAACUGCAGAUAUGGAGAAACUGUGCUGAGAAGCCUGUGAUUCUGAUCAUCCCCAACAUGAAGAAAUAUAUUUAAAGAUCUAUUACUCCGAGGUUCUUUCUGUUCUUGGAAUGUGCCACAUCCAUCCCACCACAGCAUGGCACUGCCUGUUCUCUCUGCCUGGAACAGUGCAUCCAGGGGCACCUACUUCCUGUUACUCAGUCUCGGAUCAACAUCAUUUCCUCUGAAAGCUGCUUCUGACCCCCAUGCUAACCUGCUCUCACCCCUUGAGUCUCUAGCACAUCUUGUGUUUUAUUUUCUUCACAUCAUUGAAGACUUUCUGAAAUUAUAUUGCUAAUGCCUUUAAAUGGUUGAUUAUUGGUGUCCCUCCUGUAGAGUGUCAGUUUCACGAUCAUGUGUGUGUUGUUUGCUGCUGCAUCUUUACUGCCUGCUGUCUGUGCCUGGCCCACAGUCAGGUGCUCAGUACAUGAUUAAAUAUGUUGCAGAAACUAAGAACACAGAAAGGGAAAACA